AGACCAGGUGUGUGUUGGGCCCACGUGUUCCAAAGUUUGCUGGCUGUGAUAAAUGUCUCGUCGUCCAUGGUUACAAGCAUCGAGUGAGAUCCUAUGAUGACUUGGUGCUGGAGCCACAGACUUCCUGCCUGGACAAUCUGGUGCGGCAUGUGGCAAAAAUACAACAGCUGCGUAUUUUAUGCCCCUUUUCCACUGGCUCGUUUUAGCCGUUGAGGUUCUGCACCACUGGGUUUGGCUCUACUCGGUACGGUACCUGUUGUGUUUCCACUGACCCCCAACGGCUGAAGCUAUGGCGACUGAAGCCCCGCCUCCAGCCAUAAGUGUAGAGGCUGUGCUGCUAUUAAUGUUACUGUGUUACAUUAAAG